rnacentral:lncRNA from 1 species
AAGAUCAAGAUCAAAACUCGUUAAUUCAACCAUUUGAGGAAAAAAUCAAACAAAGCAAAACUAAGCUAACAAAGAAUUAAAAUGCUAGUUUGAACUAAGGGGAACACAAAGUAUAUCAAUGGAUUAAUAAACGGGAUGAAAAGAGACGGACGUGAAAAAUGAUCCUGUAAUUAAUAUAAAUUGGGCAGUCCACGGACAGAAUAACGCCGUUAUGAAUGAAGCUCAAAAUAGCAAAUUUAUCCUGAACGAAAUCAACGGACCGCACGUCAGAUGACAAUCCAACAAUCGAACACUCGUCUCGACUCAACUCUUCAACGGAAAUGGAAACUUCGAACAAGGACAAUCGACUACCUUGAUAGAAAAUGAAAAUAAUGACCUCAUAGUGGACGGCGGUCAGGCAGUGUUUUGAGCGUGCAGGUCGGCUGACUUCUGAGCGAGUGUAACGGUGGGGAUCCAUUCAGAGGUGUUCAAGGUUAGAAGAGGAAGAAGUAAUGGAUGGAGAAGUGGUCGUUUGGGGUGUUGCUUGUCGUUUUGUGAGAGCUUGCUGGUGGGGUUCGGGAGGAGUGACGGCGGCGUGCGGUUGGGUGGUGUGGACUGACUGGAGUGUGGUCGUGGUUUUUGGGGGUCGUUUCUGGUUGUGUUGAGACGAGGAAGAAGAAGCAGGGGCGGAUGGUUGGUGGUUCUGGCGGCAGCGUGAGAGGUCGAUGGUGGAGAUAAGGUGGGGCUGGCUGGUUCUUGAGCGAUCAGCGGCGUGAGAGGUUGCUAAGGUUUUGCUUCUAGUCCUAAGGCUGAGGAAGAUAUGGAAGACGUGGUCUAGGGUUUCCAGGUUCUAUUCUCUUGUUGGUGGAAGAUGAAGAUUAAGUCUAUGGUUUCUUUGUCCUAAGGUUCAAG